GCUUGCAUGGUUUUUCUGCGGGUACCCCAGUUUCCUCCCACAUUCCAAAAACAUGAUUCUUAUUUUAAAUGAAGACUGUAAAAUGUCAAUCGGUGUGAAUGUGAAUAGUUGUUUGUCUUUAUAGACAAGCUGUUUGGAGGUUGAUAUUGUACAUUUAAAAACUGGUAUAAUUGAGAAUUACAGCCUUCUGAAAAAUUGAAGGCGACCUUGCUAAUUUGCUGGCGUCAUGUUUUGCAUGGAUUUGCUUGUUUAUGUAAAAUGUUAAAUGAAAGUGGAACACAGAUAAAUGUUUUGUUUUCUUCAUUUUAUCAUUGGAUGCUACUUCCAGCAACAUACAAAACACUAAUUAAACCAACAAGAUGAAUUUAGUUCAUUCAACAAGACUGACAUAGGAACAACAGACUAAAACUGUAGUAUAGUUCAAAAUACAUGGUUGAAUUUUGUUUUACUAGCAUGUUACAUCUUUGUAAACUAGAUUAGAUUUAAUUUGACCGGACAAAGUAAGUACGAACGUACAAAGGAGAAUAACUGGAUGAAAACAUUAAGAUCAAAACAAACUAUACUUUGUUCAAAUAACAUAAUGACAGUAGAUUGAAUUUACAUGAUUUGUUCAGAUCGAAUUUGGGUACGAAGAUAAAACCAUGUUCAUCUAAUGAAUAACCCAUAUUUUUUUUUUUUUUAUGCGUUUGUGCCCUGUGAUUGGCUGGCGACUAGUUCAGGGUAUGCCCGCCUCUUGCCUGAAGUCAGCGAGCAUAAAUUCCAGAUCACCCACGACCCUGAGCAUAAACGGUACAAAUGAUGGAUGGCUGGAUGGAUGGAUGGACAGAUGGACAGAUGGACGGACGAAUGGACGAACAGCUGGAUGUUUCUCUAGGAUAAGACUGCAGUAACUGUGGAGAAAACUAGCCUCUCCAGUACGUCCUUGGCCUUAGAUGAGAUGCAGUGUCAUAUACUGCCUGCAGUUCCAUUAUUGUAGCCGGGAGGGCGCUUUGCGUUCUCUCUCUCUCUCUCCCCUCCCUUCUCUGUUUUCAGCACCUGUCUCCAAUCAGCCUUAUCACCACCGGUAUAUAAACCUGCCUGUUCCAGGAAAUUCUCGGCGAAGUAUUGCAGUUACUUUCAGUGUGUGUGUUUCCCCCCCGUGUUCCUGAUCCACCUAAUUCCUGCCGCCAAGCCAGCCGCCUGUCCUCACCACUGCCUGCCACCUGUCCACACCGCCGCCUGCCAACCCACCUAGGACCACCGCCAUUACCUUUCGUCAAUAAACUAUUCAUCCUUUCACAUCUGCCUCCGACUGCUCUUGGAUCCAGCCACCCUCUAUUCGUGUCACAGAGACCACAUUGCUGUGGAUGUUGCAUGAAUCCUUCUGUUGAGCUUCCAUUCCUUCCGUUCCUCACUUGUGAAGAAGACUCCAGAUUAGUCGACUCCUCUAGCUGAGGCAAGAAUUCCCUCCCAGUCAGGAGGGUGCCUUCCACCAAUUUAUGAACAACAGCCUCAGAUUUUGAGGUGCUGACUAAGCAUCCCGCAGGCAAACGCUAGGAGUUGCUGAAACUCACAGUUCUGUGAAUCCAUCAGAACUAUCAAAAUCAUCCACAAAGCUACAGACAGAGAUGAAACUUUCAGGCCCUCAAACUGGACAUCCACCAAGACUUGACAGUACCGAGAAAUUCUAUCCAUGAAGAUAAUGACCAGGUGCAGUGUGCCGCUGCACUCCUGGAUCACCCCCAAAAAGCGCUACAUGGACUGUAGUCCUAUGGCUUCAAGUUUUCAAAGCAUGUGGAUUUGUCGGGCAAAUUCCCAUGCAGUGUCAGGUACCUUUGACUAGAAAAAAUUUGCAUUGCUCCUCUUACAUCUGAGGUUUGACUAAAAGGCUGGACUCUUCUCUCCAAUACAAAUUUCCCAGGGACCCUAAGGGGUGUGAUCUCCUUAUGGCUGAAAACACACCCCUGCGUGAAAAUGUUCAGGUUUACAUUUAUUAGGUACAACACACAUCAUGACACACUGAGGUACAUAUUGAUUUAUAAACUCACUUUUGUACUACAUGACUUUCGCGCACUUCACCUCGCAAGAGACAACAAGUCGGUAUGGAAAGAGGCAGCCCGACUGACGUUAUGACACUUCCUGUGUGUGACAUUAGGAUGCAGUGGAGGAGGACACCGAGUAAAGAUUUCAGGCAAGAAAAAAACUUGGACUUGAGCUACAACAUCUGUUUGCAACACUGAAAAAUAAUGUGCGUGACAAUCCAAAAAGCAGAGAAACACUAAGGCCCAGUAUGAAGACAAACUGGAGUCAAAGAUCUAGCACUGACAGCUUCAAGUCCUUCGUUCCUCAACCUUGGUCUUCCCUAGGAUGUCUUUCCCUAUUUCUCUCGAUCAUCAUCAUUGGGUAGUCUGAUCAUAAGAACAACUCUCAAGUAAAAUGCCCUCUCAUUUCCUGAGCUACAACAGGAGGCGUUGGUUGUGCUUCCGUCUGGGAGUCUCCUGAGUGUUUCAUUUGGACCAAGAAUUGGCGGGCGUAGCAAAACAAACAACUGGGGUGAGAGUGUGAAUUCUCGUUUGUAUCUGCAGUUUGUUGGCUUAAAAUCUUUGGCUCAAUGUGAUGAAAAGCCUUAGAACCUGCAAUGAAAGGUAAACAUUGGGCAGACCUUUGGUCUUAUCACAUAUAUGA